rnacentral:rRNA from 1 species
GACGAACGCUGGCGGCGUGCCUAAUACAUGCAAGUUGAGCGAUGAAGAUUGGUGCUUGCACUAAUUUGAAGAGCAGCGAACGGGUGAGUAACGCGUGGGGAAUCUGCCUUUGAGCGGGGGACAACAUUUGGAAACGAAUGCUAAUACCGCAUAACAACUUUAAACAUAAGUUUUAAGUUUGAAAGAUGCAAUUGCAUCACUCAAAGAUGAUCCCGCGUUGUAUUAGCUAGUUGGUGAGGUAAAGGCUCACCAAGGCGAUGAUACAUAGCCGACCUGAGAGGGUGAUCGGCCACAAUGGGACUGAGACACGGCCCAAACUCCUACGGGAGGCAGCAGUAGGGAAUCUUCGGCAAUUGACGAAAGUCUGACCGAGCAACGCCGCGGGAGGGAAGAAGGUUUUCGGAUCGUAAAACUCUGUUGGUAGAGAAGAACGUUGGUGAGAGUGGAAAGCUCAUCAAGUGACGGUAACUACACAGAAAGGGACGGCUAACUACGUG